UAGUAGCAUCAAUUAAUACAUUCGUAUUUCCCAAAUGUAAACAUCGAAUAACUAAAGGUUAUCGGUGAUAAGAAAAUUACCUACUAAAUACAUUUUAAAUUUUACAGCUAAUUGUCAAAAGCAUACAGCAAUUAAAUGUUUCAAUACGUAACAUUGAUAUUUAAGAGAGAUUUAUGUACUAUACAAAUAAAGUUUCUUCUAAUUUUAUUAUAUUAUUGUAUUUUCUGAACAAGUGUUGUGGACACGGACUUAUAAGUUUUGGCAAGUUCAUUAUGCUAAAUUUAACGCAAAGCGAAAGUUAAUGUCAUGCAAAAACAUAUCAACAACAAGAUAGCAUAUACAGUCAAGGUUAUUCGAUUAAUACGAAAUAUGGAAAGAUGAUCGCCAAGUAAUGAGGAUCUUCAUGAUUGCGAAUCGUUUCAAGAAGUCUAAAAACCUCUUGUAAUGGUGCACGAAAUGCAUCCCACAUUUUGAGAUUAUUAUUCCAUGGAGAUACACCUAUACAAGUAUAUAAAUUUUAAUUACAGAGAAUAUAUUAUACAAUGUGCUAGGGACAGUGCUACUUUAUGUAAGACAAAUAAGAAAUAAUUAACUUAAUUUAGCAGAAUUGUUAUCAAAAUCCACCUUCAUUCAAUUACACCAACAAAUGUAUAUUAUCACAAUUUUAUGGUCUGAUAUUUUGUUAAAAAGAAUAUAGAAUUUUAAGAAAAGUUUUUAAGCUCAGAUGACAUUAAGCACAGCUUAAUAAAACCAACCUGAUUUCAAAGAACAGUGACUUUAUUAAUAUUAAUAUAGAUCAAGGACAACUUCUUGUUACUUCAAGACAACAGAAUACAUACCUAUUCUCAUAAUUAUUUGUUGAAUAUAUAGAAAAGGAGUUUCUUUGGCCCACAUGUAAGGAA